AUUCAGCUGACCAGUCCCAAAUAGGACGAAAUGCGUGUCCUGGAU
rnacentral:hammerhead_ribozyme from 1 species